rnacentral:tRNA from 1 species
UCCAGUGUAAUAUAAUGGGUAAGAAGUUGGUCUUGUAACCUAAAGGUCGCAGGUUCAAGUCCCCGCUAGGA